rnacentral:misc_RNA from 1 species
AAUGGAGAAACAAAGAAAGUAAACACAAACCUUACCAUUGUCAUAAUGGUUAAUGGAAGGUGAAAGAGUAUACCAUGAAAGCGAAACUUACCUAUUGUGUGACCAAGGUUAAUUGAAAGUGAAAGAAUAUUCCAUGAAACUAGGUCCAACAUGUUAAAAAUAUAAAAAAUCCAAAAGGCACCAAUGCCUUCGACCACUAGGGAUUCAUCAUCUUAUCUAAUCCAAUCUUCG